UACCAGCUCUCCGAGUGGUGUGGAUGUUUAUUGGGCCUAAAGCAUCCGUAGCUGGCUGGACAAGUCCCCUGUUAAAUCCACCGAUUUAAUCGUUGGUGUGCGGGGGAUACUGUUCGGCUAGGGGACGGGAGAGGCAGACGGUAUUUUCGGGGUAGGGGUGAAAUCCUAUAAUCCCGGGAAGACCACCAGUGGCGAAGGCUGUCUGCUAGAACGCGCCCGACGGUGAGGGAUGAAAGCUGGGGGAGCGAACCGGAUUAGAUACCCGGGUAGUCCCAGCUGUAAACGAUGCAGGCUAGGUGUUUGGACGGCCGCGUGCCGUUCUAGUGCCGCAGGGAAGCCGUUAAGCCUGCCGCCUGGGGAGUACGGCCGCAAGGCUGAAACUUAAAGGAAUUGGCGGGGAGCACCACAAGGGGUGAAGCUUGCGGUUU
rnacentral:rRNA from 1 species